UCCGUCAUCAAUUAGGAUCAACAUAUCAAGGAUAGACUACCUGGGGAAACAUAAAAUGAAUCUGCUGGGAAAAACAAGAGGAAGUAAAUUACUGUUAUCGGGUAGUGGGUAAGAAUAAGGUACUCGCAAAUCGAGAAAAAUAUUACAAGUUAUUGGGUGACAAAAUCUCGAGGGACAAAAGCAUAUAUCUAGGUACGAUCUAGAAAG
rnacentral:lncRNA from 1 species